rnacentral:misc_RNA from 1 species
AACCUUAUGGACCUGCGGGCGUAUACCUGCGGAAGGAUCAUUACAGAGUUGCAAAACUCCCUAAACCAUUGUGAACGUUACCUAAACCGUUGCUUCGGCGGGCGGCCCGGGUCCUUCCCGGCGCCCAUCGGCCCUCGCGGGCGCCCGCCGGAGGUAAACCAAACUAUUGCAUUGUAUGGCCUCUCUGAGUCUUCUGUACUGAAUAAGUCAAAACUUUCAACAAUGGAUCUCAGAUCGGAA